rnacentral:misc_RNA from 1 species
UAGUGUUAAUGCUAUAAGAGUGUAGUAUCUAUUCACAAAGUUAUCAGGUUAAAUAGCUUUAUCAACUAAUAAAAAUGUUAUUGUAUAACUAUAUCCAGCGAAAAUUAUUUUGCUGAGUAUCGUAGUAAAAGUUAAGAUAUGAUGUUAAGAAUUUUUUUUGAGUCGUGCAACAACAUUAAUAGCAAACUAUAAUACAAAUCUCUCUUUUUAAAA